CAGUUCAUCCUUACUCGCGGCAUGUAAAACAUAAUCGACAAUGAUAACGCGAGUAAUAUCGAGUGGUAUAAAUUAAUCAUUCACGACCGAGCCCGAGUGCACGGGACUCUUGUAAAUAAGAGGACGUAUGGCUCGUUAAGACAAACCUGGUAGAAUUACUUCUUGCCCAGAGCGACGAAAGAUCAAGUAGUCGCGUCCUACAUUAAGAUGGCCAAUCUUAACGAAGACACAACUGGAAACACUGAGUACAUUCUUCUGCCCGACGAUUGAGAAGUUCAUCCGCUACUUUUUGGAAGGUUUUAACACGAGCGAACAUCGGAUUCCACUUCGGCAGCUAAGAAUUGAUAUCUCGCGCUUGCUCGAGCUCGCUCAUGCGAGAGGGAUGACAAUGUGAUAUUCCACGUGUCAGCGAUCCGACCAUGUGAUCCGUCACGCGGACGAGAAAAUAUGAAAAUUAUAACCAGAACAAUGUCAAUAAUUUAUAACACUCGAAAUCCAUUGAUUUACGCAAAACAUGUUUAAUUGACAAAAUAAUUGUGGCAGUUAGCAUCACGAUAAAUAACGCACGUUUCGAAGGAAGCUGGAAAUAAAUUAUGAAUAUUUGCAUUUGUCGUUUAUGUGAAAUAUUUCAAAAUUCUGUAUAUGUCCGGAAUAAUAUUAGUAGCAAUAAAACAAAUUGUUUUUCAUGUCAUA